UGAAUGAAUAUGUGUACAUGUACACACCUA
rnacentral:piRNA from 1 species